CAGUCUUCCGUGAAAGGUUUACAAGAUGGCGGCGCCCACAGCGUAAUUAGCGCAUUUCGCCAGUCACUUUUUUAUGCUGGUCAGCUACACAGUUGUCGCUGCCCUGUAUCAGUCAUACUGAUUCAGUUCAGAUAAGUAUUCUAAUUUCUUGUUAACAUUUGUGCCUGUCUAAGUUCUGGCUGUUUAAAAUAUAAUUUUACUGCCUUUUUAAGAAUGAUGAUAAAUUCGGGUCAGCUCUAUAUAUCUUGUAUAUUUAUUGUCUUAUUUAAUUUUAAGUUCAGCCUGGGCUUAUACUUUAUGUAUAUUUACGACACAUUUGUAUUAUCAGUUAAGCUGGGUUUCCUACUGUCACAUUAACAGAUGCCAUCACGUUUUUAUGAAAUAAACAAUAAAACACCCUUUCAUUUUAAUCUAUAUUACCAUACCUCAUUUAUAUGGUCAACGUGUGUAUUUUAGAAUUCUUGUGAUGUGUUUUGUUGUGCUAUUAUUGUUCAUGUUUUCUUUAUGGCAAUUAUUUGGUUGUAAUAUUUUCAUUAACAUAUCCUUGUUAAAUACGUAACUACUAAAAACUAUAAGUAUUUUUAAUAUUCUUAAAAGCUUCAUAUUCAUAUAUAUAUCUUAUUUGUAUGUUUUGUGGUGUGUCUUAUAGUCACACUGUAAUUUUAACCUUCAAGUUUUGUCUUGUAGUCACAUCUGGUCAGUCUAUUUGUGACUUGUAGUCACAAUAGUUCACAUAAGGUUAUACCCAAGGAGCGUCCGUAAAGGUGACCGGUAGCUGCGGAAUCCCACAGCCCGAGCCAGAGAACAGAAAUAUCCUUUCACGUAUCCUUCAGCCAUGCCUACCUCUCAACACCGCAAUACAAAGGACCUGUCCGCUGGCUGGCCCUUCCUGUACAAGUACUACAAAGGGGCGAAAAGGCACGUUUCCAGCCCUUCCUUUGAACACUACAUUAAACCUGCCUACCUCUCAACACCCCUCCUAUACAGAGGACCUGUCCACUGACUGGCACUUCCUGUACAAGUACUACAAUGGGACGAUAAGGCACGUUUCCAGCCCUUCUUAUUGAACACUACAUUAAACCACGAAGGACCGGAACGAACAAUUACGGCUAGAAACAGGAAGACUUCACUCUUCAGAACAUUGUGUUUUAUCUAGUGAUCUUCAGUUUUUUAGUUCUCAUUUCAUACUUAUACAUUUUUAAUGUUAUGUCCGAUUAUAGUUAUCAGCUCAGGCUGAUUCUAAUGGUUUAGUUCUCUCUGAAGUAAGUAUGUUUAUGCCUGAUUUAAGUUUUUCAGUUUAGACUGAUAUUGAGGUUAUAGUUCUCUACGAAGGCACUAUUUUUACGCAGGCCUUGAUUAUAUUUUUCAAUAUUCGGCCUGAUUUUGCUUAUUCCGUUUAGGCUUAUAUUGUGUUAUAGUUCUCUACGCAGAAACUAUGUUUAUGCAGGCCUUGCUUAUUCAUUGUUCAAUAUUUGGCCUGAUUUUGCUUAUACCAUUCAGGCUGAUAUUGUUAUUAUAGUUCUCUACGCAGAACUAUGUUUAUGCAGGCCUUGCUUAUUUAUUUUUCAAUAUUUGGCCUGAUUUUGCUUAUACCGUUCAGGCUGAUAUUGUUAUAUUAGUUCUCUACGCAGAACAAUAUUAUAGUUCUCUACGCAGAACUAUGUUUAUGCAGGCCUUGCUUUUAUAUUUUCCAUUAUUCAGCCUGAUUUUAGUUAUACCGUUCAGGCUGAUAUGGAUGUUAUAGUUCUCUACGCAGAACUAUGUUUAUGCAGGCUUUGCUUAUUAUUAUUUUCCAAUAUUCAGCCUGAUUUUAGUUGGACCGUUCAGGCCGAUAUUGAUAUUUUAGUUCUCUACGCAGAACUAUGUUUAUGCAGGCCUUGCUUAUUAUUAUUUUCCAAUAUUCAGCCUGAUUUUAGUUGGACCGUUCAGGCCGAUAUUGAUAUUUUAGUUCUCUACGAAGGAACUAUGUUUAUGCAGGCUUUGCUUAUUAUAUUUUACAAUAUACAGCCUGAUUUUAGUUGGACCGUUCAGGCCGAUAUUGAGAUUUUAGUUCUCUACGAAGGAACUAUAUUUAUUCAGACUGUGCAUAUAUUUUUCUAUAUUCAAACUGAUUUUCAGUAUUCCAUUCAGGCUGACAUUGAUGUUAUGGUUCUCUACGAAGGAACUAUGUUUUAUGCAUUCCUUGCUUAUAUUUUUCAGUAUUCUUCCUGAUUUUAGUUAUUCCGUUCAGGACGAUAUUGAGGAUGUAGUUCUCUACGAAGGAACUGAAUUUAUGCAUGAUUUUAGUUAUUCAGUUCAGUCCAUGCUUGUAUUUUUCAAUAUUCUGCAGGAUUUUAGUUAUUCAGUUUAGGCUGAUAUUGAUACUAUAGUUCUCUACAAAGGAGCUAUUUUUCCUAAGUUGGGUACCAGAUCAGGUCAUGCUCGUACUUCUUACAUGUUCCGUCUGAUUCAGAUAUCUGGACAUGCCAUGCAUAUAUUUAUCUUUUAAUUUCUGCCCAGUCAGGCAUCGUUGGGGUUUACUCUACCCCUCUAACUAAACUUAUUUCUAUUUUUAUGACCAAAGUUUUAAA